rnacentral:lncRNA from 10 species
UGCCCCCAACUCCCAGGAUCUGAAGCAAAGCUGAAAUGAGCGCGCCCACAGCUGUUCCCUCGCAGUUCCGGAAGUGGCCUGGAGCAGAGGCUGCAUCACAGGACGUGAACACUUCACGUUGCCGAGUGCCUGCAGAGUGCGUUCUGGAAGACGCCCAUCCGCUCACAAGCUCCCAGUGGUGCCUCAGGACCUCCACCUGUCACAUGUUUGCCGACCGCUGUGUACAUAUAAGGGGUACAGUGGUGUGUGACUUUUGUUUUUUAAUGCAUUCAGUUGGAAGAGUUUAAAUGUUGAAAUGAGAAUGACUUAAUAUUGGUUACUGUUGGGAACAGGCCCCCCAAAAUCUGGCCAUAAACUGGCCACAAAACUGGCCAUAAACAAAAUCUCUGCAGCACUGUGACAUGUUCAUAAUGGCCCUAACGCCCACGCUGGAAGGUUGUGGGUUUACCGGAAUGAGGGCAAGGAACACCUGACCCGCCCAGGGUGGAAAACCGCUGAAAGACGUUCUCAAACCACAAACAUAGCAUGAGCGAUCUGUGCCAUCAGGGCAUGCUCCUGCUGCAGAUAACUAGCCAAACCCACCCCUUUAUUCCGGCCCAUCCCUUCAUUUCCCGUAAGGGAUACUUUUAGUUAAUAGAAACAAUGCUAAUGACUGGUUUGCUGUUACUAAAUAUGUGGGUAAAUCUCUGUUCGGGGCUGUCAGCUCUGAAGGCUGUGAGACCCCUGAUUUCCCACUUCACACCUCUGUAUUUCUGUGUAUGUGUCUUUAAUUCCUCUAGUGCCGCUGGGUUAGGGUCUUCCUGACCGAGCUGGUCUCUGCAAGUGGCGUCCAUCGUGGGGGCUCGAAUCCAGGUCGAAGGGUCGCCAGAGCGACGGUUGGAGAACGUGGAACUAGCUGGAGGACACCUGAGUACUCUUAAAGCCAUCCCCGUGGACCGAAUCAACAACUGAUUUAGAUACCAUCAAGACACCUGAAACUUUAUCAUGAGCCAGAUGCCGAGAAAGAGAUUAAAAGCACAAUCAUCAUUGAAAUUACAGAGCUUCUGGCUGGGCGCGUGGCUCACGCCUGUAAUCCCAGCACUCUGGGAGGCCGAGGUGGGCGGAUCACAAGGUCAGGAGAUCGAGACCAUCCUGGCUAACACGGUGAAACACCGUGUCUACUAAAAAUACAAAAAAUUAGCUGGGUGAGGUGGCGGGCGCCUAUAGUCCCAGCUACUCGGGAGGCUGAGGCAGGAGAAUGGCGUGAACCCGGGAGGCAAAACUUCAGGUUUUGCCAAGAAUGACACUGUAAAUGUAACAAAGCUUCCGUGCUUGUUAGUGAACACCAACUCAGCUACUCUCCUGUAUUCGGACAUCAGGAUGAAAUGAAAAGAACAAGCGGGCCGGGCGUGGUGGCUCACGCCUGUAAACCCAACACUUUGGGAGGCUUAGGCAGGCGGAUCACCUGAGGUUGGGAGUUCGAGACCAGCUUGACCAACAUGGAGAAACCCUGUCUCUACUAAAAAUACAAAAUUAAAUGGGCGUGGUGGCACAUGCCUGUAAUCCCAGCUACUUGGGAGGCUGAGGCAGGAUGAGUGCUUAAACCCGAGAGGCGGAGGUUGCAGUGAGGCGAUAUUGCACCAUUGCACUCCAGCCUGGGCAACAAGAGUGAAACUCCGUCUCAAAAAAAAUGAAAAAAUAAAAAUAAAAAAAGACCCCCAACCUUGUCUAGACUGUGGGUUUCAGUUUCACCCCAGGGGGAUCCUGGUUGGGUUAGAACCCUGAAUCUGGUUUGAGUUCAAAUCCUAAAGAAUAAAGGGAAUAAAGGCUGCAGCCACUGAGAUACUCAAUCUGGUCUGGUUCUGGCUUUUGUGUGUCUAUCUGUAUUUUUGGUCUAAAAUAUUUGGCCCAACAGAGGUUAAAGGCUUUGAUGGUCUCAGCAAAAGCCUUGUGAGAUCUCUAGUUUAUCUGUGUGCUCAACUUGAACAAAGAGACUCCAUAAACUAGAAAAACCUAAAGAAAAUGGCACACGUGAAAAACUGAGAGCCAACUCCUGUUUGUUGUUCUGUCCACCUCCCUCCCUCACUCCUCCUCCUGCCUUUGCUGUGGUCCCAUGGUGUUUCUGUCUUUCUGGGGACCUGAGAUUCAGUGUAGGAGUGAAGUCCACGAUUUUAAAAAUUCUUCCUGUCUCUGCUUUUUAACUCUGCCUGCUUUGCUGAGCCCUUAUAAUGAGAAAUAAACCAUUCAGAACAGAAACAACAGGGCAUCAGAAAACCAACUUUAGGCAGCGCUCCGGCAAGUACUUCCCUAGAGGGGAGGGGCCUACUAAAGGAGAUUUAAUCUUGAAAAGGCCAAAAUGAGAAGCUCUAACCUUAAGCUUGCUAGGUUUUCUGGGACUCGAGCUGGCUAUAUAUUAUAGACCAUUCUAGUCACACACA